GAUGAACGCUGGCGGCGUGCCUAAUACAUGCAAGUCGAGCGAACAGACGAGGAGCUUGCUCCUCUGACGUUAGCGGCGGACGGGUGAGUAACACGUGGAUAACCUACCUAUAAGACUGGGAUAACUUCGGGAAACCGGAGCUAAUACCGGAUAAUAUAUUGAACCGCAUGGUUCAAUAGUGAAAGACGGUUUUGCUGUCACUUAUAGAUGGAUUCGCGCCGCAUUAGCUAGUUGGUAAGGUAACGGCUUACCAAGGCGACGAUGCGUAGCCGACCUGAGAGGGUGAUCGGCCACACUGGAACUGAGACACGGUCCAGACUCCUACGGGAGGCAGCAGUAGGGAAUCUUCCGCAAUGGGCGAAAGCCUGACGGAGCAACACCGCGUGAGUGAUGAAGGUCUUCGGAUCGUAAAGCUCUGUUAUUAGGGAAGAACAAAAGUGUAAGUAACUAUGGACGUCUUGACGGUACCUAAACAGAAAGCCACGGCUAACUACGUG
rnacentral:rRNA from 1 species